rnacentral:misc_RNA from 1 species
CGCACAUUGCGCCCUUUGGUAUUCCGAAGGGCAUGCCUGUUUGAGUGUCAUAUAGACCUUCACCCGACCGUUUGUUCGGCCGCGGUGCUUUGGACGUCUUGCCAUUAACCCUGGCUCGUCUUAAAUGUCUGAGUGGUAGCAUAAAGCGUGAUAAGUCUUCGCUUAAUCGACCACUAUAAUAACACUUUUUUUUUAUCUCUGACCUCAAAUCAGGUAGGACUACCCGCUGAACUUAA